UUCAAUCGAAAACGCAUACUGACCUAUUGUAUUGCUUAACUUUAUCAUUCGCGAUUCCCCAACAUUAAACUUGAAAUAUUUGAUCUAAAAGAAAACUCAAUAUCAGUUAUUUAUAAUCCGUUGCAUAUAGUUAUUCUCUGUCCUUAUAUUCCGUUUUGUUUGGUAAGUUGGCGGGUUCUAUUUGGUUUAGGCGAUUGUUGGGUACUAACUACCAAAAGGAGAUUGGCAUUGUAUGAACACUGAGUUGAAGCUGUAAGACAAUACAGCUUAAAAUUUC